GAUGAACGCUGGCGGCGUGCCUAAUACAUGCAAGUCGAGCGAACGGACGAGAAGUUUGCUUCUCUGAUGUUAGCGGCGGACGGGUGAGUAACACGUGGAUAACCUACCUUUAAGACUGGGAUAACUUCGGGAAUCCGGAGCUAAUACCGGAUGAUAUUUUGAACCGCAUGGUGCAAAAGAGAAAGACGGUCUUGCUGUCACUUAUAGAUGGUUCUCCGCUGCAUUAGCUAGUUGGUAAGGUAACGGCUUACCAAGGCAACGAGGCAUAGCCGACCUGACAGGGUGAUCGGCCACACUGGAACUGAGACACGGUCCUGACUCCUACGGUAGGCAGCAGUAGGCAAUCGUCCGCAAUGGGCGAGAGCCUUACGGAGCAACGCCGCGUGAGUUAUGAAGGUCUUCGGAUCGUAAUGCUCUGUUAUUAGGUAAGAACAUAUGUGGAAGUAGCUGUGCACAUCUUGACGGUACCUAAUCAGAAAGCCACGGCUAACUACGUG
rnacentral:rRNA from 1 species